AGAAGAGAAACCCAGGAGUGAGGGCGCCCAGGUGUCCAGGAGAGACCGUACUGACCUUGGACACAAGAGUACCACCUCUGAUGGAGGUGCCACAACGUCACUAGAAAACUAAUUUCAAUCACAAACAUUUUAUGGAGCAAAUUCUGCGUGGUUGCAAAUGUAACCAUUAGCUCUACUCCACCCCAGACCACUAGUCCUAUAUCUUCAGAUUGUGUCUAUCUUUUUAAAACUAAACUCUUCACAGUGAACUUGUAGCCUAUUAUAAAAUUCCCAUAGUUUUUUAAAAAAAUUGUUUUUAAUCAAAGUGCACCUUAGGUUAAUUCUCCCAUGGCCUGCCUUAGUUUACUUUAAGAUAAGUUUAAUCUUCACAAAGCCUCUCUCGGGUAUUCUCAUUUUACGGAGGCUCAGAGAAGGAAACAGAAGCUCACAGCAGCUCCUGCAGGUGGCUGAAGCAUGGAAAUGAUUAUGACCCAACUUUGACCAUACAACUAAGGACAACAACUAUGGAUGAUGACACAAGGACAGUAUCUUAUGGGUGAUGACAGGCUACAAGAUGGGAAGAAGCCAGAUGCCCACCUAACUGAUGGAGAAGUAAAUAAAUCGAAUCUUCA